ACUCUUGGAGAUAGACGCUCAAGCCUGACGCCUCGGAAAAAGGCAGCAGCAGUCGCCUUAUCCUUAGACCUCAGGAAAUUCGCUUUUACCGAUGCAUGCUUCAGGUUCUGGCUCGAGCUAAGGGGAAUAACCAGGCAGAUUUCUGAGUUCUUAUAAACGUCAAAAUAAAAUCAAAAUGCAUCACCAACAUACAACCAACUGACAUGCUGGAGUCUUAGGGUGGCCUUGCAGAGACAGAAAAAAGAAGAGUUUGAGGGAUUGAUUUCACCAUCUAACAGCUUCUGGCUACUUCACAGCAGGGUUUGAGACCUACCUACAGGGCUCCUAAACAUAAAGCGAAUCAGCCUGGGAGGGCAUGCACAGGAAAUUUGGCCUUGGCUUUAGUGGUGCUGGAAGCCCAUGAUAUGACAGAAGUAGGCCUCUGAAGCUAUUCUGGUGUCUCACUCUGUCCUUUCUCCUUCUGUGCUUGGAGCCAACAUCUGGAGGGGCCUCGAGGCCUGCCAAGCAGCCAAAGAUCCUGGCUCAGUGUUGACUUCGUGUUCCUCUCCGAGAAAAGUGUGUUUCUUCCGAUUCUGCUCUCCUACUGCUGGCACCGCGCCGGUGGUACUUUGAAGGUUUUGGUCCUGGGAUAGUUGAAGUACCUGUUGGUGCCACAGAUGCCCUCACUUAAACAUCAUCGGAUGCAAAUGGAUCAGUGAUCGCUCUUGAGCCUCGGUGGCCCUCUUUUUCAGAACGUUGCCUCCAAAGUGUAUCCCCCCUUUGGCCUGGAAGUUCUGCAGCUAUCCCAUAGGACUGGGGUCUCCGCUUUCCAGUUGGAAGGAGACUACUGGGAGAGAGGAAGGGGCUGCUGG
rnacentral:lncRNA from 1 species